rnacentral:rRNA from 2 species
CGGGUGCUUGCACCCACCGAGAAAGAGGAGUGGCGGACGGGUGAGUAACACGUGGGCAACCUGCCCAUCAGAGGGGGAUAACACUUGGAAACAGGUGCUAAUACCGCAUAAUUCUUUUUGUCGCCUGACAGAAAGAUAAAAGACGCUUUCGGGUGUCACUGAUGGAUGGGCCCGCGCUGCAUUAGCUAGUUGGUGGGGUAACGGCUCACCAAGGCCAUGAUGCAUAGCCGACCUGAGAGGGUGAUCGGCCACACUGGGACUGAGACACGGCCCAGACUCCUACGGGAGGCAGCAGUAGGGAAUCUUCGGCAAUGGACGAAAGUCUGACCGAGCAACGCCGCGUGAGUGAAGAAGGUUUUCGGAUCGUAAAACUCUGUUGUUAGAGAAGAACAAGUGAGAGAGUAACUGUUCUCACCUUGACGGUAUCUAACCAGAAAGCCACGGCUAACUACGUGCCAGCAGCCGCGGUAAUACGUAGGUGGCAAGCGUUGUCCGGAUUUAUUGGGCGUAAAGCGAGCGCAGGCGGUUCCUUAAGUCUGAUGUGAAAGCCCCCGGCUCAACCGGGGAAGGUCAUUGGAAACUGGGGAACUUGAGUGCAGAAGAGGAGAGUGGAAUUCCAUGUGUAGCGGUGAAAUGCGUAGAUAUAUGGAGGAACACCAGUGGCGAAGGCGACUCUCUGGUCUGUAACUGACGCUGAGGCUCGAAAGCGUGGGGAGC